UGCCAGCAGCCGCGGUAAUACGGAGGGAGCUAGCGUUGUUCGGAAUUACUGGGCGUAAAGCGCACGCAGGCGGUUUGUUAAGCUAGAUGUGAAAGCCCCGGGCUCAACCUGGGAUGGUCAUUUAGAACUGGCAGACUAGAGUUUUGGAGAGGGGAGUGGAAUUCCAGGUGUAGCGGUGAAAUGCGUAGAUAUCUGGAGGAACAUCAGUGGCGAAGGCGGCUUCCUGGCCCAAUACUGACGCUGAGGUGCGAAAGCGUGGGGAGCGAACAGGAUUAGAUA
rnacentral:rRNA from 1 species